CGCGGCCUAUCAGCUUGUUGGUGAGGUAAUGGCUCACCAAGGCUUCGACGGGUAGCCGGCCUGAGAGGGCGACCGGCCACACUGGGACUGAGAUACGGCCCAGACUCCUACGGGAGGCAGCAGUGGGGAAUAUUGCACAAUGGGCGCGAGCCUGAUGCAGCAACGCCGCGUGCGGGAUGACGGCCUUCGGGUUGUAAACCGCUUUCAGUAGGGACGAAGCUAACGUGACGGUACCUACAGAAGAAGGACCGGCUAACUACGUGCCAGCAGCCGCGGUGAUACGUAGGGUCCGAGCGUUGUCCGGAAUUAUUGGGCGUAAAGGGCUUGUAGGCGGUCCGUCGCGUCAGGAGUGAAAACUCGGGGCUUAACCCCGAGCCUGCUUUUGAUACGGGCGGACUAGAGGGAUGCAGGGGAGAACGGAAUUCCUGGUGGAGCGGUGGGAUGCGCAGAUAUCAGGAGGAACACCGGUGGCGAAGGCGGUUCUCUGGGCAUCACCUGACGCUGAGAAGCGAAAGCGUGGGGAGCAAACAGGCUUAGAUACCCUGGUAGUCCACGCCGUAAACGGUGGGCACUAGGUGUGGGGGACAUUCCACGUUCUCCGUGCCGAAGCUAACGCAUUAAGUGCCCCGCCUGGGGAGUACGG
rnacentral:rRNA from 1 species